GGAAGUGACUAAGAACACAGCAGUUGAGAAGAACUGGCUGCGAAUGCAACUGUUAGAUCGUGCUCGAGGAGCUGAUAAAGUUACAAUUUUCUUGGAUACUUACGGAUUCGAGUUUGCUAUUUUACAGAGUGUACUAUAAGAGAAAUUUGAGCUUCAAUAAAUUUUUUGAGUGUGAGCUGAAAUAUGAGAUGUAUUGUUAUUCAAUUCAAAUGAAACUAUAAGCUGA
rnacentral:misc_RNA from 1 species